rnacentral:sRNA from 1 species
ACUAUUAAUUAAAAAAAAUUAAAUAAUUAAAAUCCAGUGACAACCAUUGUAAAUAAAUCCCAACUCCAUGAUUUAUUUCACAAAAUGGAUGCAAAAAUGUAUAUAUAGAUUUA